UCAGGUACUAUAACUUCGGGGUAACUGCGCCACGAAUUGCAGUGUACUGGAUCAACGACGAGACCGGCCAAUCGAAUCUCGUAUUCUCGAAGUCCGCUAGCAAAAUUGAUGUCUGGUCUCUGGCAAACCUGGAGAUAUUUGCCGACGUUGAUUGGACGUUAUCCGUGAAAAUUGUCUCUGAAUUCAUGGAAGAGUUGGGAGUUGCUGCCGUCGAUGACACGUCCAGUAAAAUUGGCAACUGCGAGAAUCCUCCUGGCGACUGUGACGUUGAAGUGGACUGGUGCCUGUGGUAUAACGUGCAAGAUCUUCCUUUGAAAUGGCAACGCUCGUCUCCCAUUGAGACACCUGAAGGUGGCACCCCAGUGAUUGACCACGACCACACGACAGG
rnacentral:lncRNA from 1 species